CCUACGGGCGGCAGCAGUGAGGAAUAUUGGUCAAUGGGCGGAAGCCUGAACCAGCCAAGUAGCGUGCAGGAUGACGGCCCUACGGGUUGUAAACUGCUUUUAUCCGGGAAUAACGCGCCUUACGUGUCGCGCUUUGCAUGUACCGUAUGAAAAAGGACCGGCUAAUUCCGUGCCAGCAGCCGCGGUAAUACGGAGGGUCCGGGCGUUAUCCGGAUUUAUUGGGUUUAAAGGGAGCGUAGGCCGCAUGUCAAGCGUGAUGUGAAAUGUCCGGGCUCAACCCCGGCCUUGCAGUGGAAACUGGGGUGCUUGAGUGCGCGGGAAGCAGGCGGAAUUCGUGGUGUAGCGGUGAAAUGCUUAGAUAUGACGAAGAACCCCGAUUGCGAAGGCAGCUUGCUGCAGCGGAACUGACGCUGAUGCUCGAAAGCGCGGGUAUCGAACAGGAUUAGAUACCCCUGUAGUC
rnacentral:rRNA from 1 species